GAAACCCGGUGAUCUAGCCAUGGGCAGGUUGAAGGUUGGGUAACACUAACUGGAGGACCGAACCGACUAAUGUUGAAAAAUUAGCGGAUGACUUGUGGCUGGGGGUGAAAGGCCAAUCAAACCGGGAGAUAGCUGGUUCUCCCCGAAAGCUAUUUAGGUAGCGCCUCGUGAAUUCAUCUCCGGGGGUAGAGCACUGUUUCGGCAAGGGGGUCAUCCCGACUUACCAACCCGAUGCAAACUGCGAAUACCGGAGAAUGUUAUCACGGGAGACACACGGCGGGUGCUAACGUCCGUCGUGAAGAGGGAAACAACCCAGACCGCCAGCUAAGGUCCCAAAGUCAUGGUUAAGUGGGAAACGAUGUGGGAAGGCCCAGACAGCCAGGAUGUUGGCUUAGAAGCAGCCAUCAUUUAAAGAAAGCGUAAUAGCUCACUGGUCGAGUCGGCCUGCGCGGAAGAUGUAACGGGGCUAAACCAUGCACCGAAGCUGCGGCAGCGACACUAUGUGUUGUUGGGUAGGGGAGCGUUCUGUAAGCCUGUGAAGGUGGCCUGUGAGGGUUGCUGGAGGUAUCAGAAGUGCGAAUGCUGACAUAAGUAACGAUAAAGCGGGUGAAAAGCCCGCUCGCCGGAAGACCAAGGGUUCCUGUCCAACGUUAAUCGGGGCAGGGUGAGUCGACCCCUAAGGCGAGGCCGAAAGGCGUAGUCGAUGGGAAACAGGUUAAUAUUCCUGUACUUGGUGUUACUGCGAAGGGGGGACGGAGAAGGCUAUGUUGGCCGGGCGACGGUUGUCCCGGUUUAAGCGUGUAGGCUGGUUUUCCAGGCAAAUCCGGAAAACCAAGGCUGAGGCGUGAUGACGAGGCACUACGGUGCUGAAGCGACAAAUGCCCUGCUUCCAGGAAAAGCCUCUAAGCAUCAGGUAACAUCAAAUCGUACCCCAAACCGACACAGGUGGUCAGGUAGAGAAUACCAAGGCGCUUGAGAGAACUCGGGUGAAGGAACUAGGCAAAAUGGUGCCGUAACUUCGGGAGAAGGCACGCUGAUAUGUAGGUGAAGCGACUAGCUCGUGGAGCUGAAAUCAGUCGAAGAUACCAGCUGGCUGCAACUGUUUAUUAAAAACACAGCACUGUGCAAACACGAAAGUGGACGUAUACGGUGUGACGCCUGCCCGGUGCCGGAAG
rnacentral:rRNA from 1 species